AUUUAAGUUGGAGACCAACUGUGUGUAAUUUUGAGUUUUAGAAAAAACCUUCUGUUUUAGUAAUUCCAAAUGAAAAAAGAAAAAAAGAAAACUGAAAAGGAAAAAAAAAAUGUAAAAAGAAAGUAAAAAAGCUGUACCUUUUGUAUCAGGGUUUAAGGAAUCAUUUUUUGAUAAAAAAUCCCGAAAAAAUUGGAUCUUGGAGCCAAAAAGGGUAAUAUUUCAUAAUUAUGUAAAAUUGACUUCAAGCGGUUAAAAGUAACUCGGCAGUUGUAUAUCUGGUUCUUAAUGAUAAAAUUAAAUUUUAACUUAUUAAAAAAAUGAUUAGUAAGGAAAAAGUCUUUCUGGGGUAAGCUGGAAAAAAAAGAGUAAGAAUAAUAACUAGUAUUUGGGUUUAUCAAAUUUUUAGAGGUAAAAAAUUUCAUUCUCCACUCCUAGGAAAAAGGAACUAAAAAAAUGGGAAAAAUUGGAAAAAAAUCUUAAAAUUAGUCAAUGUGGAAUUAAAUCUAAGGAACUCGGCAAUUCUCAGUUUCGCCUGUUUAGUAAAAACAUCGCUUCAUUAAAAAAUUUGAAGUCUGGCCUGCUCCCUGCAAAGGUAAAUAGCCGCAGUAUCCUGACUGUGCUAAGGUAGCAUAAUAAUUUGUUCUUUAAUUGGGAUCUAGAAUGAAUGGUUGAACGAAAGUUGGACUGUCUCAGUAUUAAUUUAUUUAACUUUAAAAUUAAGUCAAAAUGCUUAAAUGUAAAAGAGGGACGAGAAGACCCUAUAGAUCUUUGCUAAAAAAAGCAAUUUCCAAAUUUAGCUUGCUUGGGAAGAGUCCAAAAGACAUUGGUUAAAGAAAAGGCAGGUUGGCCAAAAAAGACUAAAAUGAAUGAAAAAAAAAGUUACCUUAGGGAUAACAGCGUAAUUUUGUUACUUUAGACCAUAUAAGAUAACAAGUUUGCGACCUCGAUGUUGAAUUAAGUAAAUGCUGGGGGGAAAGUUUCAGAUUAUUUAGUCUGUUCGACUAAAAGUACUUACAUGAUUUGAGUUUAGACCGACGUGAGUCAGGUCAGGUUCUAUCUUCUUUAGAAUUUUCUUUUUCAGUACGAAAGGACCAAAAAGAGGUACUGUGUAC
rnacentral:rRNA from 1 species